rnacentral:lncRNA from 1 species
GGUGGUGUCCCUGUCACCUCAGAGGUGUCCGUCCCUCAUUUCUCGGGGUUCACCCCGGAUCUCUGUCCCAUCCCCAGCACCCGGAGAAGGGUCAGUGUCACCUCAGAGGUGUCCGUCCCUCAUUUCAUGGGGUUCCUGCUGCAUCUCCGUCCCUCUGGAGAUGUCCCUAUCCUGUCCCCAGUUCCCGGAGAAGCCUCUGGUGGUGUCCCUGUCACCUCAGAGGUGUCCGUCCCUCAUUUCUCGGGGUUCACCCCCGAUCUCCGCCCAUCUGGAGAUGUCCCCGCCCUGUCCCCAGCGCCCGGAGAAGGGUCAGUGUCACCUCAGAGGUGUCCGUCCCUCAUUUCAUGGGGUUCCUGCUGCAUCUCCGGCCCUCUGGAGAUGUCCCUAUCCUGUCCCCAGCGCCCGGAGAAGCCUCUGGUGGUGUCCCUGUCACCUCGGAGGUGUCCGUCCCUCAUUUCAUGGGGCUCAUCCGGCGUCUCCACCCCUCUGGAGAUGUCGCUGCCCCACCUCCAUCCCCCCGGGAAGGUCUUUUUGUCCUCCCCGUCACAUUUCGAGGUCCCUGUCCUCGAUCCCCGCCAUCCUGUGGCACUUUGGGCAGAGUCUGCGUCCCUUUGGUGACGUCCCUGUGCGAUUCCCGCCACCCGGAGAAGGUCUCCGUGGUGUCCCUGUCACCCUGGAGGUGUCUGUCCCCCCGUCCAGGGGGUUCCUGCCGCAUCUCCAUCCCUUUGGAGAUGUCCCAGCCUGGUCCUGGCGGCACCUGUGACACCUGAGGUGUCCCCAGUCCCCCGCUGAAGGUCCCUGUGCCCGAUCCCGGAUCCCCAGGAGGGUUCUGGUGCCAUCUCCGCCCCUCUGGGGUCAUUUCUGUCCCACUGGAGACGUCCUGUGUCCCCCUCGCCAGCGCUCCGAGGGGCUCCACGGGCCGUCUCUCCCCCCUCCAGGUGUCCCUGUGGGGUCUCCCCCCUCUCGGAGGUGCCACUUUGUCACCUCCAUGUCCCCACCUCGGGGGUCCCUGGGCCUCUCCAGGUGACCCCUCCAGGUCACCUCCCCCUCUUUGGAGCUGUGUCACCUCCGGGACCCCCCCGCGUGCCGUCCUCCUCCCCCUCCAGGGUCACCCCUCCAGGUGAACCCUGCAGGUGACCCCUCCAGGUGA